AAAUUACUCCCUCCAUCCUGAAGUACUUGUCGUAUAAAUGAAUGUAUUUUAAUGUAUUUUACUUCUAAAUACAUCCAUUUCUAUCCUUUUUGUGGCAACUAAUUUGGGACGAAGGGAGUAUAAG
rnacentral:pre_miRNA from 1 species